AUUCUCUUUCUUCCUUCUCUGUUAUUUUUUUUUACAAACUUUCUUCCUUCAAUGUUGUUAUCUCUCUCUCUUCUCUCACCAAUCCACCGUUGAAUUAUAUGUGAACUCAUUGAUUACAAAUUAUUUUAGCCUCCCAUCAAAAUAUCUUCCUCCACAUCGACAUCGUCACACCUUAAAAAGCCGACUCUCUUGAACUUCCUAUUUGAAACGCGUUAUAGCUUCGGUCAGCACCGCCGCAGGAUGUUUCGGCUCCUCCUCCCAUAAAGAAUGACUGAAGAAUUAUCGUAAAAACCUUUUUUAUGGUAGAUUCAUAUGAAAUAGACCCGUAAAAAAGAACAUGAAAUAGACAUUUGAGCCUCAAUUAGUUUUCUCGUCUCCAAUAAAAGAAUCUAUGGUAGAUUCAUAUGAUGGUUCUUCUCCAUAUCUUAAUUUAAUGUUGGAUUCAUAUGGUGUGAGAAGAAAGAAAGCCCCGUAAUAAAAAACAAUGGAGGAAGAAAGAGAAUGGGUUAGAAGAUUCUCGUAAAAAUAAAUAGGAA
rnacentral:lncRNA from 1 species